rnacentral:rRNA from 1 species
UACGUAGGCAGCAAGCGUUGUUCGGAGUUACUGGGCGUAAAGGGUGUGUAGGCGGCCUGUUAAGUUCCGUAUGAAAUCUCCCGGCUCAACCGGGAGGGUGCGCGGAAAACUGGCGGGCUAGAGUACGGGAUGGGAGAGUAGAAUUCCUGGUGUAGCGGUGAAAUGCGUAGAUAUCAGGAGGAAUACCGGUGGUGUAGACGGCUCUCUGGACCGUAACUGACGCUGAGACACGAAAGCGUGGGUAGCAAACAGG